GUUUGAUCAUGGCUCAGGACGAACGCUGGCGGCGUGCUUAACACAUGCAAGUCGAACGGAGAACUUAUUUCGGUAAGUUCUUAGUGGCGAACGGGUGAGUAACGCGUGGGCAACCUGCCCUCCAGUUGGGGACAACAUUCCGAAAGGGAUGCUAAUACCGAAUGUGCUCCCUCCUCCGCAUGGAGGAGGAAGGAAAGAUGGCCUCUGCUUGCAAGCUAUCGCUGGAAGAUGGGCCCGCGUCUGAUUAGCUAGUUGGUGGGGUAACGGCUCACCAAGGCGAUGAUCAGUAGCCGGUCUGAGAGGAUGAACGGCCACAUUGGGACUGAGACACGGCCCAAACUCCUACGGGAGGCAGCAGUGGGGAAUCUUCCGCAAUGGACGAAAGUCUGACGGAGCAACGCCGCGUGAGUGAUGAAGGUCUUCGGAUUGUAAAACUCUGUUGUUAGGGACGAAAGCACCGUGUUCGAACAGGUCAUGGUGUUGACGGUACCUAACGAGGAAGCCACGGCUAACUACGUGCCAGCAGCCGCGGUAAUACGUAGGUGGCAAGCGUUGUCCGGAAUUAUUGGGCGUAAAGAGCAUGUAGGCGGGCUUUUAAGUCUGCCGUGAAAAUGCGGGGCUUAACCCCGUAUGGCGUUGGAUACUGGAAGUCUGAGUGCAG
rnacentral:rRNA from 1 species